rnacentral:rRNA from 2 species
GGGUUGUGAGGUUAAGCGACUAAGCGUACACGGUGGAUGCCCUGGCAGUCAGAGGCGAUGAAGGACGUGCUAAUCUGCGAUAAGCGCCGGUAAGGUGAUAUGAACCGUUAUAACCGGCGAUUUCCGAAUGGGGAAACCCAGUGUGAUUCGUCACACUAUCAUUAACUGAAUCCAUAGGUUAAUGAGGCGAACCGGGGGAACUGAAACAUCUAAGUACCCCGAGGAAAAGAAAUCAACCGAGAUUCCCCCAGUAGCGGCGAGCGAACGGGGAGGAGCCCAGAGCCUGAAUCAGCAUGUGUGUUAGUGGAAGCGUCUGGAAAGGCGCGCGAUACAGGGUGACAGCCCCGUACACAAAAGCGCAUGUGCUGUGAGCUCGAUGAGUAGGGCGGGACACGUGGUAUCCUGUCUGAAUAUGGGGGGACCAUCCUCCAAGGCUAAAUACUCCUGACUGACCGAUAGUGAACCAGUACCGUGAGGGAAAGGCGAAAAGAACCCCGGCGAGGGGAGUGAAAAAGAACCUGAAACCGUGUACGUACAAGCAGUGGGAGCCCCACCACUAAGCCAGUGGUGAACUCCACAUACGCAUCCUUUGCUGAGGAUACGGUUAACGGAGCGAAAGCGACGUUCAACCGCAAAAGAAGCAGAGGGGGCUUAGUGGUGGGGUGACUGCGUACCUUUUGUAUAAUGGGUCAGCGACUUAUAUUCUGUAGCAAGGUUAACCGUAUAGGGGAGCCG